rnacentral:lncRNA from 1 species
AGACGAGUUGCAUUUUGCUAGAUAGGGGAAGGAGGGCUGUCUGCUGUCUGGUAGGAGGGCUUUGUCUGCCUUUCUCUCUCUCUCUCUCCUCUCUCUCUCUCUCUCUCUCUCUCUCUCUCUCUCUCUCUCUCUCUCUCUCUCUCUCUGUUUUCUGUUUUUCUCUCUGUCUGUCUCUCCUCUCACUCGCUUGCUCUGUCUCUGUCUCUCUCUCUCCCUCUUCCCCCUCCCUCUCUUGCUUUCUCUCCCUUCCCGUCUCUGUGGUUUGUAAGGUAGGUUGCAGUGUGUGUAUAUACACAACAUCAAGAGCAGGAAAAUGGACUCAUUAGGGAGGCAGGCAGUCAUUACCACUCACACUGUACUUCCAGGGAGACACCGAUUAUGAGAAGAGAAACUCAGUGCUGGGGAACAAGUUUCACAGAAAAAAAAGUGUUAAGAAUUGUUCUUAACCGCUUCAGACUCCAGAGCGCGAAGGUCUGUUGCAGAUGUUCGGACAUCAAGUCUAGACAAUUCAGCUGUGCCCUUGAGUUAAUGGUGUUUAUGGAGCUAUAUUAAAUGGAACUAUGGAGGCUCUACCCCAUGGAGACGUGCACAACCAUCCAUAUGUAUUUGGGGGGGCAUAUAUAACAACCUUGCGUUUGUAGGAGUAAUAGAAGACUAAUUUUUUUCCUGUUGCCAUUUGUGUGAACACAAAUAUAACCUACUAGUAUCAGACUACUUCAAUUUGUUCCUCCAAUAUCUCAUUAAAAAAAUGAACAUUGUACUUUUUUGUGUCAUGUGUACAAAACCUACCUUACUUGUUACUUUCGGCCUUCUUAACCUUUUUCUGUGUCAUGAACCCCUUUGUCAGAGAACGGAAGCAUGAUCUCUCUACUACUUCCUCACAGUGGUGCAUGUAGGGGUCUUUUAUAAACAUUCAUGUCCCAAUUCCUUAUAAACUUAAAAGUGUGCCGACAUUCCCAUUGGCAAUCUGGCAAAGCUUGAAGACCCCAUUUCAGAAUUAUGUUUUUAAAUGUACAAAUAAAAUACAUAAACAUACAAAGCUUGGUAGGUAG